rnacentral:rRNA from 1 species
AUAGGCAUGCAGUCGAGCGCUCAUCAGCAAUGGUGGGAGCGGCGAACGGCGUAGUAAGACGUAGGAACGUACCCUCGGGACGGGGAUAGCUAUGGGAAACUGUAGGUAAUACCCGAUAAUCUCUGCGGAGCAAAGGUGUGAUUCCGCCUGGGGAGCGGCUUACGCGAUAUUAGCUAGUUGGUGGGGUAAUGGCCUACCAAGGCGAUGAUGUCUAGGGGGUGUGAGAGCAUGGCCCCCACGACCGGAACUGAGAUACUGUCCGGACACCUACGGGUGGCUGCAGUCGAGAAUCUUCCGCAAUGGACGAAAGUCUGACGGAGCGACGCCGCGUGCGGGAUGAAGGCCCUUGGGUUGUAAACCGCUGUCAGAGGGGAUGAAAUCUUCGGAGGUACUCCUCCGAAGUUGACAGAGCCUCAAAGGAAGCACGGGCUAAGUACGUGCCAGCAGCCGCGGUAACACGUACUGUGCGAACGUUAUUCGGAAUCACUGGGCUUAAAGGGUGCGUAGGCGGCAAUUCAAGUCAGAUGUGAAAUGCCUGAGCUCAACUGAGGCAUUGCGUUUGAAACUGAAUCGCUAGAGUAUCCCAGGGGUGUGCGGAACUGCCAGUGGAACGGUGAAAUGUGUUGAUAUUGGCAGGAACACCGGAGGCGAAAGCGGCACACUGGGGGAUAACUGACGCUGAGGCACGAAAGCCAAGGGAGCGAACGGGAUUAGAUACCCCGGUAGUCUUGGCCGUAAACGAUGAGUACUGGGCGGGAGGGGGUUUCCCUUUUCUGCCGUAGCGAAAGCGUUAAGUACUCCGCCUGGGGAGUAUGGUCGCAA